UCCGAAUUGGUGUAGUGGCUAACAUUUGACGCUCUCAUGGAAGUGCCGUCAAGCCCGGGGUUCGAUUCCCCGAUUCGGAG
rnacentral:tRNA from 1 species